UACGUAGGGGGGCAAGCGUUGUCCGGAUUUAUUGGGCGUAAAGCGCACGCAGGCGGUCUUUUACGUUUCGAGUGACAGGUGGUGGCUUAACCACCACAGGCCUUGGAAAACGGGAAGACUUGAGGGCUUCAGAGGGACGCGGAAUUCCAGGUGUAGCGGGUGAAAUGCGUAGAUAGUCUGGAGGAAUACCGGGUGGCGAAGGCGGCAUCCUGGACCGACAUUGACGCGUGAUGAGCGAAAGCCUAGGGGAGCAAAC
rnacentral:rRNA from 1 species